ACCCGUUCUCAUUCCGAACACGGCAGUUAAGCCUUCUUGAGCCGAUGGUACUCGCAAGGGGAGAGUAGGUUGUCGCCAGCA
rnacentral:rRNA from 1 species